CACGUAGUUAGCCGGGGCUUCUUAAUCAGGUACCGUCUGGCGACCCAAAGGUCGCUAUUCUUCCCUGCUGAUAGAGCUUUACAUACCGAAAUACUUCUUCACUCACGCGGCGUCGCUGCAUCAGGGUUUCCCCCAUUGUGCAAUAUUCCCCACUGUUGCCCUCCCGUAGGAGUUUGGGCCGUGUCUCAGUCCCAAUGUGGCCGUUCACCCUCUCAAGGCCGGCUACUGAUCGUCGCCUUGGUGAGCCAUUACCCCACCAACAAGCUAAUCAGACGCGGAACCAUCGUAUACCACCAGAGUUUUCACACCACUUCAUGCGAAGCUGUGCGCUUAUGCCGGUAUUAGCACCUAUUUCUAAGUGUUAUCCCCCAGUAUACGGCAGGUUUUCCACGCGUUAACUCACCCGUCCGCCACUAACUCAUAAUCACCUAGGUUUCAAUAAUGAGCCCGUUGACUUGCAUGUGUUAAGCUACGCCGCCACGCGUUCACUACCCUGAGCCAGGAUCAAAACU
rnacentral:rRNA from 1 species